UACAGAGGGUGCGAGCGUUAAUCGGAAUUACUGGGCGUAAAGCGCGCGUAGGCGGCUUUGCAAGUCGGGUGUGAAAUCCCCAGGCUUAACCUGGGAACUGCAUUCGAGACUGCAUUGCUAGAGUAUGGGAGAGGGAAGUGGAAUUUCCGGUGUAGCGGUGAAAUGCGUAGAUAUCGGAAGGAACAUCAGUGGUGAAAGCGACUUCCUGGACCAAUACUGACGCUCAUGUGCGAAAGCGUGGGGAGCAAACAGG
rnacentral:rRNA from 1 species